GCCGGGCAUGGUGGUGCAUGCCUGUAAUCCCAGCUACCUGGGAGGCUGAGACAGGAGAAUCACUUGAAACUGGGAAGCAGAGAUUGCAGUGAGCCAAGAUCAUGCCACUGCAUUCCAGCCUGGGUGACAGAGCGAGACCCUGUUUCAA
rnacentral:SRP_RNA from 1 species